UACGGAGGGUGCAAGCGUUGUUCGGAUUUAUUGGGCGUAAAGCGCGUGUAGGCGGUCGGGCAAGUCAGAUGUGAAAGCCCUUGGCUUAACCAAGGAAGGGCAUUUGAAACUGCCCGGCUUGAGUACGGGAGGGGGAAGCGGAAUUCCCGGUGUAGAGGUGAAAUUCGUAGAUAUCGGGAGGAACACCGGUGGCGAAGGCGGCUUCCUGGACCGAUACUGACGCUGAGACGCGAAAGCGUGGGGAG
rnacentral:rRNA from 1 species